rnacentral:snRNA from 1 species
AGAACAACCUGGCAGGAGAGAUCCCAUGAUCAUGAAGGUGGUUUUCCCAGAGCUAGGCUUAUCCAUUGUACUCCAGAUGUGCUGACACCUGUGGUUUUCCCAAUUGUGGGAAGCUGGACUGCAUAACUUGUAGUGGGGAACUACGUUCAUGUUCUGUCCUG